GGAGUAAAAUCCUCCCCAUCUGACCUAUGCAGACAGCUUGUCUUCCCUGGGAGACUAAGCACCUCAGUUCAGCCAGAGGGUUAUGAGUACACAGGAACUAUAAAGCUCCAGGCUAAAGGGGUGAAGAAAGUUGGCCAGCUGGAAGCAGCAGAGAAAAAUCCAGUUGUUCUUAGUAUACCAUAUCAGCAUAGCUAAGCCCAUCUGAAUGUGGUUUCUGAAGUCACUGAUGAAGACAUCUAGUCCGGGAAUGGAACUCCAGCUGGUGAAGAGAAUCAGAGGCGACAAACUCAUCCAGCGUCCACAGAAAUCAUCCAUAUUUUCUCAUGGACAGGUGGACAGGACGGGAACCCUGGAACAAGAAGCCAAAGGGCCUCCUCUUCUACCCUUUUGGAAGCAAUCCACACUUGGCCCCACUUGGGGACACACAAGCUGAGCAUGGCAGCUUGGGGACUCAAGUCUUCUGGCCAAGAGUCAUUCCUUUAAUCGUCCCAAGUAACUGGCACUGAAACAAAAAGUUCACAUAUUCUAGCCAAACCCUUUUACAGCCCUUGCUGUUUUGUAGGAAAUUCACAAAACUGUAAGUUACAGAGUUCAACCAGCUUAUUUUUGAACAUUGGAUGAGAAAGCAGAUAGACUUGCCCCGUA